rnacentral:rRNA from 1 species
AUGGCCUUGCCGGCGAUCCCCGACGAGCUUCUGGUGGAAAUCCUCCUCCGCCUCCCCACCGCGGCCGACCUCAUCCGCGCCUCGGCCGCCUGCGUCUCCUUCCGCCGCCUAAUCGCCGGCCGCUCCUUCACCCGUCGCUUCCGCAAGCUCCACCCCCCGCCCCUUCUCGGCUUCCUCGACACAGGGCGGCUUCGCUUCCACCCCGCGGUCCCGCCUCACCCCUCCGCGCCCGCGGCCAGGGCCGUCGCCCGCGCCGCCGACUUCUCCUUCGACUUCCUCCCCUCCCCCUCCCCCUACCGGCCCUGGUCCGUGCAGGAUGUCCGUGACGGCUGGGUACUCCUCGAAAGGCCCCGCCCCCGCCCCCGCCGUCGCGGCGCGGGGCUGGAAUCUCCCUCCUAUGAGAUGGUCGUGUGCGACCCCUUGCACCGGCACUAUCUCUUGCUUCCCCGGAUCCCCGAUGACCUAGCCGCUUCGGUUGUGGGCGCACAAGGGUUCUGCCACGAAGACUCCUGCCUCGUCCCUUCCGGCGACGACGAGGAGGCAGCUGCGACGGACGAGGCGUCAUUCAGGGUGAUCUGGAUGCUGCUGCACCCAACUAAGCCGGUGAUCUUUCUCUUCUGUUCGGGCACACAGCAAUGGCGAAUCGUUCCAUCACUGACUUGGAGUGAGAUGUCGCCUGGCUUCGAGUUACCGGCGCAUGUGUUUUACCGCCUGAUGCGCCAUUACGCCCAUGGCUGUUUCUACUGGCUUUCAUAUUCCACUGAGAAAUUGUUUGUGCUUGAGAUCCGGAGGAUGGAGUUCUCCGUGGCGGACCACCCACCCUGUGAAAGAAAGCUGGGUGAGGAUGUCGUGAUUGCAGAGGCAGACCAAGGCAUGAUUCUGAUGUUUGUGCCUAAGCCUGACACAUCUCCCGUUAUUUAUACUGUUUGGCGAAACAAUGGUGGGAGGUUCACUCAGUGGCAGAUGGAGAAGCCAAUCACGCUGGAUUCUGGGUCCGGCCUCAUGGGUGCAGUGGGGAGGCAUUUGCUCAUAUAUUAUUGCGGAACCUCGUCGGUCGGGCGAAGUUGUUUCACGCAGGACGUUAACACAUUCCAGCUUGAGUGGGUGUGUUCCGCAGUUCCCAAACAGACACACGCAUACUGCAACUUCCCACCGUCGUUAUUAUCGUCACCGACAGUGUCAACUGGCACACACCAUGCUGACAUCCAGCGAGCGGGGGUUGAUGUGCCAGUGCCUCAACUACGAGAAUCUGACUCUGGAGGCAUGGAAGGACCUGUCAUUCCAGCGGCCGCGCGAGCUUCAAACCCCUUGUUCGUCGUCGAAGCCGCAGCCCAUGCCAAUGUCCUACGGCAAGCGGGGGACGCUGUGCGGGUGCCUGGACUACGAGAAGCUGGCCCUGAAGGCGUGACCUUGUGCAAUGCAGGCACACCCCAUGCCGACGUCCAUGGAGUGGGGGAUGAUAUGCCGGUGCCUGAACUACCAGAAGCUGACUUUGGAGGCGUGCAAGGACCUGUUGUUGCAGCGGCCGCCCGAGCUCCUAACCCCUGUUUUGACGCCGAAGGCACACCCCAUGGUGACGUCCAGGGAGAGGGGGAUGAUGUGCCGGUGCCUGAACUACAAGAAGCUAACCCUGGAGGUGUGCAAGGAUCUGUUGUUGCAGCGGCUGCCCGAGCUCCGACCCCCUCUUUCGUCGUCGAAGCCACACCCCAUGCUGACAUCCAGGAAGCGGAGGACAUUGUGCCGGUGCCUGAACCACGAGAAGCUGGCCCUGAAGGCGUGAUCUUGUGCAAUGCAGGCACACCACAGGGAGCGGGGGACACUGUGCUGGUGCCUGAAGCACGAGAAGCUGGCCCUGGAGGCAUGCAAGGACCCGUCCUCGCAUCCGCCGCCCAAGCCCCAAAACCCUCGUUCGACAACAAUGGCGUGGAGGCGGGUCGUGGUGGGGCGAGAAGAUGGCGCUGGGGCUGGGGCUGGACCUGCGGAGUCUGUAGGGGGCAGGUAGCCGAGGUGUGA